rnacentral:miRNA from 1 species
UGUGAUGUGCAUGUGGGCUUUCC